GACAGAGGUGGCGAGCGUUGUUCGGAAUUACUGGGCUUAAAGGGCGAGUAGGCGGUGGAGCAAGUCUGAGGUGGAAUCCUACGGCUUAACCGUAGAACUGCCUUGGAAACUGUUUUACUUGAGUCAGUGAGGGGAGGGCGGAAUUCCUGGUGUAGCGGUGAAAUGCGUAGAUAUCAGGAGGAAGGCCUGUGGCGAAAGUGGCCCUCUGGCACUGUACUGACGCUGAGGCGCGAAAGCGUGGGGAGCAAACAGG
rnacentral:rRNA from 1 species